UGGCAGCGUCCCCUCUCCCGUCGCUGCUUUCUCUCAAGUUCACUUCAUCGGCUUCCGGCCCACGAGAACAAACCGAACGGAAACAGGAAUUGAGGUGAGCAGAAGUUGAGGGUGGCGGUGAAGCCGCCGGAGAUACCAAAGCUAGUGCUUCUGCGGUUCACAUGAACGGAGAAGAACACGGAGCUCGCGCCGGAACAGGUGAUCCCGGGCGGCCAAGGUGCCAUUCCCACUGAUCCCCUACUACUUCUGGCGCCGCAGGAACCCGAGGAAGGAGCUCAAAGUCCAAGAUCACCGAUCGACAGUGAACCUCUGCCAGUAGAGCGGCAGCAACAUGUAGAUCCCUCUUCCUCUCGUCCCAUACCUUCAAGAAUCUUCAGUUCGAUGCAAAAAAAUCUCGAACUUGUCACUGUAGAAGUGUUUCUCUAUAAAAGGAGGACUUCAAGUUGACUUU